CCAUAUGACCCUUAAUGCACAUGCACCUGAUCUCUAAUCUCAGAAGCUAAGCACUGUUGGGCCUGGUUAGUAUAUGGA
ensembl:rRNA 5S_rRNA 5S ribosomal RNA